rnacentral:tRNA from 1 species
GGGGGUUUAGCUCAGCUGGGAGAGCAUCUGCCUUACAAGCNNGGUCACAGGUUCGAGCCCUGUAGUCCCCACCA